GGGUUGUGAGGUUAAGCGACUAAGCGUACACGGUGGAUGCCCUGGCAGUCAGAGGCGAUGAAGGACGUGCUAAUCUGCGAAAAGCGUCGGUAAGGUGAUAUGAACCGUUAUAACCGGCGAUGUCCGAAUGGGGAAACCCAGUGCAAUUCGUUGCACUAUCGUUAACUGAAUACAUAGGUUAACGAGGCGAACCGGGGGAACUGAAACAUCUAAGUACCCCGAGGAAAAGAAAUCAACCGAGAUUCCCCCAGUAGCGGCGAGCGAACGGGGAGCAGCCCAGAGUCUGAAUCAGCUUGUGUGUUAGUGGAACGGUCUGGAAAGUCCGACGGUACAGGGUGAUAGUCCCGUACACCAAAAUGCACAGGCUGUGAACUCGAAGAGUAGGGCGGGACACGUGGUAUCCUGUCUGAAUAUGGGGGGACCAUCCUCCAAGGCUAAAUACUCCUGACUGACCGAUAGUGAACCAGUACCGUGAGGGAAAGGCGAAAAGAACCCCGGCGAGGGGAGUGAAAAAGAACCUGAAACCGUGUACGUACAAGCAGUGGGAGCACCUUCGGGUGUGACUGCGUACCUUUUGUAUAAUGGGUCAGCGACUUAUAUUCUGUAGCAAGGUUAACCGUAUAGGGGAGCCGCAGGGAAACCGAGUCUUAACUGGGCGUUAAGUUGCAGGGUAUAGACCCGAAACCCGGUGAUCUAGCCAUGGGCAGGUUGAAGGUUGGGUAACACUAACUGGAGGACCGAACCGACUAAUGUUGAAAAAUUAGCGGAUGACUUGUGGCUGGGGGUGAAAGGCCAAUCAAACCGGGAGAUAGCUGGUUCUCCCCGAAAGCUAUUUAGGUAGCGCCUCGUGAACUCAUCUUCGGGGGUAGAGCACUGUUUCGGCUAGGGGGUCAUCCCGACUUACCAACCCGAUGCAAACUACGAAUACCGAAGAAUGUUAUCACGGGAGACACACGGCGGGUGCUAACGUCCGUCGUGAAGAGGGAAACAACCCAGACCGCCAGCUAAGGUCCCAAAGUCACAGUUAAGUGGGAAACGAUGUGGGAAGGCACAGACAGCCAGGAUGUUGGCUUAGAAGCAGCCAUCAUUUAAAGAAAGCGUAAUAGCUCACUGGUCGAGUCGGCCUGCGCGGAAGAUGUAACGGGGCUAAACUGUGCACCGAAGCUGCGGCAGCGACACUAUGUGUUGUUGGGUAGGGGAGCGUUCUGUAAGCCUGCGAAGGUGGCCUGUGAGGGUUGCUGGAGGUAUCAGAAGUGCGAAUGCUGACAUAAGUAACGAUAAUGCGGGUGAAAAGCCCGCACGCCGGAAGACCAAGGGUUCCUGUCCAACGUUAAUCGGGGCAGGGUGAGUCGACCCCUAAGGCGAGGCCGAAAGGCGUAGUCGAUGGGAAACAGGUUAAUAUUCCUGUACUUGGUGUUACUGCGAAGGGGGGACGGAGAAGGCUAUGUUAGCCGGGCGACGGUUGUCCCGGUUUAAGCAUGUAGGCGGAGGUUCCAGGUAAAUCCGGUACCUUUUUAACGCUGAGGUGUGAUGACGAGGCACUACGGUGCUGAAGUAACAAAUGCCCUGCUUCCAGGAAAAGCCUCUAAGCAUCAGGUAACAUUGAAUCGUACCCCAAACCGACACAGGUGGUCAGGUAGAGAAUACCAAGGCGCUUGAGAGAACUCGGGUGAAGGAACUAGGCAAAAUGGUGCCGUAACUUCGGGAGAAGGCACGCUGAUAUGUAGGUGAAGCCCCUGCGGGUGGAGCUGAAAUCAGUCGAAGAUACCAGCUGGCUGCAACUGUUUAUUAAAAACACAGCACUGUGCAAACACGAAAGUGGACGUAUACGGUGUGACGCCUGCCCGGUGCCGGAAGGUUAAUUGAUGGGGUUAUCCGUAAGGAGAAGCUCUUGAUCGAAGCCCCGGUAAACGGCGGCCGUAACUAUAACGGUCCUAAGGUAGCGAAAUUCCUUGUCGGGUAAGUUCCGACCUGCACGAAUGGCGUAAUGAUGGCCAGGCUGUCUCCACCCGAGACUCAGUGAAAUUGAACUCGCUGUGAAGAUGCAGUGUACCCGCGGCAAGACGGAAAGACCCCGUGAACCUUUACUAUAGCUUGACACUGAACAUUGAGCCUUGAUGUGUAGGAUAGGUGGGAGGCUUUGAAGCGUGGACGCCAGUCUGCGUGGAGCCAACCUUGAAAUACCACCCUUUAAUGUUUGAUGUUCUAACGUUGGCCCCUGACCGGGGUUGCGGACAGUGUCUGGUGGGUAGUUUGACUGGGGCGGUCUCCUCCCAAAGAGUAACGGAGGAGCACGAAGGUUAGCUAAUCCUGGUCGGACAUCAGGAGGUUAGUGCAAUGGCAUAAGCUAGCUUGACUGCGAGCGUGACGGCGCGAGCAGGUGCGAAAGCAGGUCAUAGUGAUCCGGUGGUUCUGAAUGGAAGGGCCAUCGCUCAACGGAUAAAAGGUACUCCGGGGAUAACAGGCUGAUACCGCCCAAGAGUUCAUAUCGACGGCGGUGUUUGGCACCUCGAUGUCGGCUCAUCACAUCCUGGGGCUGAAGUAGGUCCCAAGGGUAUGGCUGUUCGCCAUUUAAAGUGGUACGCGAGCUGGGUUUAGAACGUCGUGAGACAGUUCGGUCCCUAUCUGCCGUGGGCGCUGGAGAAUUGAGGGGGGCUGCUCCUAGUACGAGAGGACCGGAGUGGACGCAUCACUGGUGUUCGGGUUGUCAUGCCAAUGGCAUUGCCCGGUAGCUAAAUGCGGAAGAGAUAAGUGCUGAAAGCAUCUAAGCACGAAACUUGCCCCGAGAUGAGUUCUCCCUGAGACUUUAAGUCUCCUGAAGGAACGUUAAAGACGAUGACGUUGAUAGGUCGGGUGUGUAAGCGUAGCGAUACGUUGAGCUAACCGAUACUAAUGAACCGUGAGGCUUAACCUUACAACGCCGAAG
rnacentral:rRNA from 1 species